rnacentral:lncRNA from 1 species
GAGAUGUAUACCAGGCUGAGGGGUCACUGGCAGGGAAGGCAGCAUAAUUGAUGCCUGGAAACAAUGAUGGUCAUUCUGCUCUGGCUAAAGUAGGCAGAGGCCAGGGGAUUGGCCUAGUAGGACAUCAUAAGACAUUUGGGCUGUUUCCUGUGGAAAGCUGGCGCCAAGAGAUUUGAAAUUGUUUGAAGCAGGGGAGAGGCCUAAUCUGAUUUGUGUGUUGGAAAGGUAUUUCUGGUAACAGUGCGGAGGCUGGAUGAGUCACUUGGAGAAAAGAAGACCACAUUCCAGAGGGUUCCAUGAUGUGGACACUUUCAGCAGGUGGUGAGGGGCUUCUGAAAUGCAUCAGGUGCCUCUCCAGGUGAACCACCUGCCUACCUUUCCCCCAGUUCUUAAACAGGAAGCAAAAUUACAAUGACAAAGGCUAGCGAUAUGUGGCGUGGUACCCUCUCUUGAUGCUGGGCAGUGGCGGUGAGCACAGCUCCCAGUUAGCCAUGCGAUCAUCAGGAUAUGUGUGACUCAGGACACCAUGUUGUCAGAUCUUCACCAUCCUAAGCACAAUGUAACAACCCAUAAUGGCUAAGUAGUGUCCCGGUAACAUGGAGGAAUGAAAAAGUUGUGUAAAUGGCAUCAAGAUUGUCUUAAGAUUAUCAAGCUAAUAGAAGCAAUAAACAUCACCAGUUGUUUUAGGAUUUAUUCUUCAAGGGAGGGUUUGCACUUAAAGGGACAUUAUCUCUUCCAACUAAUACCAAUGAACAAGAGUAAUGAAACAAAGAGGCAUAAUUUCUACCACCAGAAAACUCUUACAUAUGUAGUUUUUAAAAUGUACACUAUGCAGUAAAAGAUACGAAAUCCAAUAUUAGACUAGGUAUGUAAAAUCAGAAAUAUUUUUCUCCAGAGACCCAGAGAACUUGAGGUAGUCAUUGUCCUCAAAGCCCUUUGCACAUCAAGAUAUGCAAGGUCCAACUGCUUCACUUGGAAUUCAAGUCUUCCAAAAUAUAGUCCCAGCUUUAUGUGCUACUAAAGAUCUGCAUUCAACCUUUCAAGGUCCUUAACACUGAUAUGAUUAUGAUGUCUCACCUCUAUCCUCCAUAAAUAUAAAACAGGAUCACAAGCAUAGGCAACAAAAACAACACUAGACAAAUGGGACUAUGUUGAACUAAAUAGCUUCUGCACAGCAUCUACACACAAUCAACAGUGUGAAGAGACAGCCUGGUGAAUUGGAGAAAAUAUUUGCAAACUAUUAAUGUGACAAAGGACUAAUAUCCAGAAUGUACAAGGAACUCAAACAACCCAACAGUUGAAAAAAAACCCAUAUAAUCCCAUUAAAAAGUGAGCAAAGGACAUGAAUAGACAUUUCUCAAAAGAAGACAUACAAAUGGCCAACAGGUACAUGAAAAAAUGCUCAACAUCACUAAUCAUCAGGGAAAUGCAAAUCGAAAUCCACAAUGAGACAUUUUCUUACCCCUGUUAGAAUGGCUACUAUUAAAAAGACAAAAAAAAAAUAGUAACAGAUGCUGGCAAGGAUCUGUUGGUGAGAAUCUAAAUUAGUACAGCCAUUAUGGAAAACAGUACGGAGAUUUCUCAAAAAACUAAAAAUAGAACUACCAUAUGACCCAGCAAUCCCACUAUGGGGUAUUUUUCUAAAGGAAAGGAGUUCAGUACAUCACAGCAUACCUGUGCUCUCAGUUUACGACAGCACUAUUCACAAUAGCAAAGAUAGGGGAUCAACCUAAGUGUCCAUCAAUGGACAAAUGGAUUAAAAAUGUGAUAUAAAUACACAAAUAGAAUACUAUUUGGCCAUAAAAAAGGAAUAAAAUCUUGUCAUUUGUAGCAACAUGAAUGGAACUGGAGGUCAUUAUGUUAAGUGAAAUAAGGCUGUCAGAGAAAGACAAACAUUGCAAGUUCUCACUCAUAUAUGGAAGCUAAAAAAAGUUGAUCUUAUGGAGGUAGAGAGGAGAAUGAUAGAUACCAGAUGCUGCGAAGGUGUGCUGGUGGGGAAGGGGAUUAAGAGAGUGCUUAGUUGGUGGGUACAUACAGUUAGAUAGGAGGAAUAAGUUCUAAUGUUCUAUACCACAGUGGGGUGCUAUAGUCAGUAACAACGUAUUGUCUAGUUCAAAAUAGCUAGAAGAGAGAACUUGACAUGUUCCCAACAUAUAAAAAUGAUAAAUACUUGAGGUGAUGUCUACCCUAAAUACCUUGACUUGAUCAUUCCACAUUCCAUGCAUGUAACAAAAUAUCACAUGUACUCCAUAAAUAUGUACAAAUAUGUGUAUCAAUUGAAAAAAGGAAAAAAAAUAACAUAAAUGUAAGGAAGUCCAACUGUGUUCUGAUUUUGCCCAUAAUGUUUUCUUGAUACGUUUUUAAAACAUCAAAUAAUAAAUUUAUAAACAAAAUAU